rnacentral:rRNA from 1 species
GGAGACCUCGAGCGUUUUCCGGAAUCAUUGGGCGUAAAGCGUCCGCAAACGGGUUACUUAAGUCGAGCUUGAAAUCCGGCGGCUCAACCGUCGACACGGGUUCGAUACUGAGUAACUAGAGGGUUGGAGAGGCUGAUGGAAUUCCCGGUGUAGUAGUGAAAUGCGUUAAUAUCGGGAAGAACACCAAUUGCGAAGGCAGUCAGCUAGCCAAAUCCUGACGUCCAGGGACGAAAGCGUGGGUAGCGAACGGGAUUAGAUACCCCGGUAGUCCACGCCGUAAACGAUGGGUACUAGGCUUGGGGCGUUUCGACACGCUUCGAGUCGUAAGCUAACGCGUUAAGUACCUCGCCUGGGAAGUACGGCCGCAAGGCUA